rnacentral:lncRNA from 1 species
UCAAGGGAAAAUUUUAUAGGACGGCAAUAAGGCCAGCGAUGUUGUAUGGCACAGAAUGUUGGGCGGUGAAGCAUCAACACGUACACAAAAUGGGUGUAGCGGAGAUGAGGAUGCUUCGUGGGAUGUGUGGGCACACAAGAAAGGAUAAGAUUGGGAAUGAGGAUAUCCGAGGUAAAGUAGGAGUAGCCGAAAUUGUAGGAAAGAUGAGAGAAAAUCGGCUUCGGUGAUUUGGACAUGUGCAAAGAAGGCCGACUGACGCUCCGGUUCGAAGAUGUGACUACGGGACAGAGGUUCAGGGCCGAAGGGGUAGAGGAAGACCUAGGAAAACUUUGGAAGAGACUCUAAGAAAAGACUUAGAGUACUUGGAUCUAACGGAGGACAUGACACAAAACCGAGCGCAAUGGCGUUCUAGGAUUCAUAGCCGACCCCACUUAGUGGGAAAAGGCUUUGUUGUUGUUGUUGUUGUUGUUGUUGUUGUUGUUGUUGUGUGUUGAGUGUGAAUACCAUUUUGUACGCAAGAUUGUUGCAUGUUGAAGCCUAGAUUCUAUUAUGGACAGGGAAUUGUCUAAAUAUAUUGUAAAAUAUUUGACUGAAUUUAAGUUAAAUGAAAUGUAAGAACCGACUAAUAUUGGAUAUCAGUGACAGUGUGCAGGUAAGUGUUUGUUGAGGUAUGUGAAAACUUUUUGGAAUAGUCUUGAGGUUGAGGGUAAUGGAAGCUGUUCUUUGAUAGGCAUCAUAAGGGACACCUUCCCGGACUUGAACCUGGACCAAAUGCUAGUUAGGAAUUAGAUUAGGAAAGUGCAUAACUAAUCCGGUGUACUAGGAUCCGCACUGAGCUCAGUUUUUGGAUAAGGAAAGCAGUUUUGUUGCUCUUUUGUUGUACUACUAGUAAGAAUGGUUUGACAUGGUCCUUUCUUUGUGCAUGCAUAUCUUUGGUUUCCGCAAUGAUUUGUUAAUGAAAUGAUUAAGUUCAACUGAUGUGGUAGCUACUGAUGGCAUUUUGGGCGCUCAUUUCUUGUUGGAUAUUAUUUGUUUCUUGUAAUUCUAUAUUUUUCAUUAUCAGAUGCAAACUAGCGCUUUAGUCUGUUAAAGGAUUAUUUUUCUGGUUAAUGUUCAGUUAAAGUAUUAAAUCAUAUUUUUCUGUCUUUAUCUGCAGUCUCUUGAUAAACAAGGAGUAAGUUUCUGUACCCGGACCACACAUGAUGACAGUGCCAUCACAAAUGCUGUUGAAAUAUACGAUAGAUUGGGGUAUUUUAGCUAGUUCUGAAAAUCUGUUCAUCUGAAUUUUUUCUUUUAAUAAAACACAAUUUGAUAUAGAAACGCUUUUUCAGGGGUGGAAUGCAUUUCAUGGCAUCCAAUAAUGACUGCGGCAUAAGAGAAUAUGACAUGGAGAAGUUUCAGCUUUUGAAUCACUUUCGUCUCCCUUGGCCAGUGAAUGUGAGUCAUCCUAAGAACUUAAUUCAUAUUGAUGGUUUCUGUCAGAUAAACUUACCUGCCUUUUUCUACUUCUAUACUAAGAAUCUACAUAUUUGUCUUUACACUUUCACUUUCUGUGAUUUUCAUUGACUCCAACCUCCCUGGAUAUUAAUAUUAGAAGGCUAAGUUGUGCAUUGAAGAGUAUUAUUUCUGAUAUAUUUGGAAAUUGUUGAGAUGUCAACUAGGAAGUCAAGCUUUCAAAUCAGUUUUAUUUUGUUCAAUUGGUCAUGCUGAGGACAAGGACAAUUUUUAAAAUAAAAGGAAAUUGGUGACUGGUGUAGGUCACAGACUAAUUUCAUAUUUUGGUUUAGCUUGAUGGACAUAUCGUUUUCUUUUAUAGAUAAAUUGAAGCAAUAUUCCUUUUCAGCUAAUGACAUAGGAACAAUUUUCCUCUCCAACUUGCCAAAAUUCCUUUUCAUAUUUUGGUCGAUACCACUUGCCAAAAUUUUUCUUCGUUGACCCUCUCCUUAAAGCACAAAAUGUUGAUUGAGCCAAUCCUAGUAUUGAAAAUAUUUUGCAGACUUGAAACAAAUUACCUCUUUGAAAUAGAAGAGUGCAAUAUACUUAAGUGCUUGUAAAUUGGAAGUGAUCUGCAAUUGCUUAAACUGGAAUUAAUGUGUUGGUUUCUGUUGUUAUUCCUCCCCUAACUCUUUUACUUAACGUGGAGCUCACCUUGUUUGCAGCAUACAUCAAUAAGCCCAGAUCGUAGGCUUGUUGCCGUUGUUGGUGAUCAUGUAGAUGCAUUGCUCAUGGAUUCGCAGAAUGGGAAGGUACCAAGAUCUUUUUCCUGAUCAUGAUACUUUUGUCUGUAACUUAUUUUGUUGCAUUUCUUUCCAUAGAAAUAUUCUUGCUAAUAAGAUGAGGUAAACUGUGAAAAUUGAACGCGAGACAUGUAGACUUCGAGGAAAUGGUUAAUGGUGGUAAAAUACCAAUACAAGUGUCAUCUUUAAUACGAUAACAGAUUUUUGCUUACAUAGUUGUUUUUAUAAUUGUUCAGCAUAAAGAUAUCUACUUUUUAUUUAUCUUUUAAUAUACCUUAACUUUGUGUUAGCGGAGCAGUUGUGCUUCUAAAUUCCAAAUUUACCCCUAAAAGCAUUUUCCAGGUUUUAUUUUCAAAGAUGGGAACCGUUUACUAACCAUAUACAACUUUGUUUUUUUUUGUUUUUUUUUGUCAUUCCAGACUAUUGCUAAGGUCGUUGGUCAUCUGGAUUACUCUUUUGCGUCAGCAUGGCAUCCUGAUGGUUGCAAUUUGCCACUGGAAACCAGGACAAGACUUCCCGAGUCUGGGACAUAAGAAAUCUUUCAUUGCCAGUUGCCGUUCUGAAGAAUAGCUUGGGUGCUGCUAGGUCAAUUCGCUUUUCAUCAGAUGGUCAGUUCUUGGUGGUCGCGGAACCUGCAGAUUUUGUGCAUAUAUAUAGCACAAAGGCAUACUACAAAGUGCGGCAAGAGAUUGAUUUCUUUGGGGAGAUAUCCGGUGUAUCAAUGAGUCCCGAUGAUGAGUCUCUGUAUAUAGGAAUCUGGGACCGAACAUACGCCAGCUUGCUACAGUAUAACAGAAGGCACUAAGGGUGGAAACCCUCGUGUGGAUAGUUUUGCUUCAUCUCGCUCAUAAGAAACCACCAAGGGUGGAAACCCUGGUGUGGAUAGUGAGCCAGAUGGUAUUGUUGUACCCUUCAUAAUGUCCCCACAUAUGUGUAUUGUGGAGGGUGUAAAGAUUGUGAGUGUGAAAUAUGGAGCUUGUCUUUGCCUUUCUCGAUGCAAAGGAAUUUAACCCAUUACUUCUCUCAGAUCCAGCUUCCUCCCUCGGAUGAUCCAUUCUCUCAAUGAUUCAAUCGAUACCCUACUAUCUUUUGAACUCUUCUGGAUAAGAUAAGGGUGUUUUGGGUAGAAAAACGUGAUUCCGGAUGAAGGCUUUGUCCCGGAAUCCGAAUACUAGUUAUUGUUCGGUAGUCUGAUUCCGAGAAUAUUAGGAAUUGGAUUGCUGAUUUUGAGUGGACCCUGCAUAAAUUUUUAUUCCCCAAUGGAUAGUAGACACUGGAAUCCUUUCAGUCAUGAAUGAUUCUCUUUCAUUUCAUUUCCAACCCCUGUUGGUAAACACGCACAGAUGUUGUAUAGAGACUUUCAAAUGACAGAUGUAUUCCUGUUGGACCACAUAGCUUGGUGAGUAAAAUGAGUACUACCCAGACAGCAACUAAGUAUCAUCCGUGCAGAUGGGCCGAACUUUAUCUCCUUCCUCUCUCACACACACAGUACACACGCACGCACAGAGAAAAGAGAGACGGCGGAGCCGCGCAGAGAGAGAGAGAGAGAGUAGUGUUUCCCUUUCAUCUCUUACUUAUCUCCAGACUCUGCAAAUCAUAACAGCAAGUGGAUUAGCUAGCUGCCUGGAUUGCAAUCCCGACCCUCUGUUUUCCAGGCAAGUGUUUGUUCCUUCUUCUUACUCCCACUUUCUUUUUUUUCCAGUGUUUGGUUAUUAAUUUAUUAAUUUAUUGUUAUUAUUUCAAUUUUUUCAACCUCAAUUUGCUGUAAUUUUUUACCCUCUCUAAUAAAAUUUGUUUCGCCUGAUUUUUGUUUGCUUCAAACAAGAACGCUUACUGCAUUCGGGCCAUUCAUAUUUUUUGCUUAUUGCAGUUCAGCCAUCGACUUCGCCUAUGUAAUUUUACAUUGCCGGUCCCAAGCCCGGAUAAAGGAGGAGGGGGAGGGCGUCAGGUAGUCGACAGCCGGCACUCCAUGAUCACGUCGAAUCCUUAUGAAAAUGAAUCCAGAACAAAAUCGCGCUAAAGCUAGGGCGUCACCCGUAAGUGGUGCGCUGUGUGGCCCGAGCACAGUGAUAAGUGAGCAAGGGUCGCUGUAUCUCCAUCGGCACCCGGAUGCAGUGUUAAAUGAGCAAGGGGGCCGUAGAAACUUCUUUUCGAACGACUUCACUCAAAGUUGUUUGGGAGCAUAUGCUCCUAUCAACUUUACACGGGACACACAAAAGAAGUACUUUGAUCAUAUUAGACGGGGGAGGGUGAAGAAGCUAGGACAGAAGGGUAGAGUUCAAGAGAGCAAAAUGCGUUUAGGAACGUGGAAUAUAGGAACCUUAACGGGAAAAUCUAUGGAAGUAGUGGAAGUUAUGGUGAGGAGAAGGAUAAAUAUUAUGUGCCUACAAGAAACUAAGUGGGUUGGUAGUAAGGCAAAGGAUCUAGAAAACUCAGGGUUUAAAACUUUGGUAUUCGGGCACAAAUAGAACGAGAAACGGUGUUGGGCAUCAUCGUGGACAAGACCUUGACACAAGAUGUUGUAGAUGUCAAGAGGGUAGGAGAUAGAAUCAUGGCAAUCAAGAUUGUAAUAGGACAAGAACUUAUCAAUGUGAUUAGUGCGUACGCACCUCAAGUAGGAUUGGAUACGAGUUCGAAUGAGAAAUUUUGGGAAGACCUUGGAGACUUGGUGCAAGGAAUUGCUCAGACGGAGAAGUUAUUUAUAGGAGGAGAUUUAAAUGGACACAUGGGCAGGGAGACAGGCAACUAUGGAGGUUUUCAUGGUGGCCAUGGUUUUGGGGAGAGAAACGAGGAUAGGGAAGCUAUCUUGGAUUUUGCAAUGGCAUAUGAUCUCUUCUUAGCCAACACCUUCUUUAAGAAGAGAGAAGAACAUGUGAUCACCUACAAGAGUGGGUCGUCAAAAACACAAAUAGAUUUUCUUCUAAUGAGGAAAAGGGAUCGUAUAACUUGUAAGGAUUGCAAAGUUAUACCAGGAGAGAGCGUGGCUAAUCAACAUCGCUUGUUGGUGAUGGAUGUACAUAUCAAAAGAGUGAGACAAAAGAACAAGACUUGGAAGUGCCCAAGGACUAGAUGGUGGAAUCUAAAAGAAGAAAAACAAGUCAUUUUCAAAGAGAAGGUAAUCACCCAAUGUGUGUGGGAUAGAGAGGGGGAAGCUAGCCAAAUGUGGGAUUCCAUGGCUAGUUGUAUCCGAAAAGUAGCAAAAGAGGUAUUAGGAGAGUCCAAGGGCUUUGCCCCACACCAAAAGGAAUCUUGGUGGUGGAAUGAGGAGGUACAAACAAAGGUGAAGACUAAGAAGGAAUGUUGUAAAGCCUUAUACAAGGAGAGGACCGAUGAAAAUGGUGAAAGGUAUAGAAAAGCGAAGCAAGAGGCGAAGAAAGCUGUCAGAGAAGCUAAGUUAGCGGCUUACGACGAUAUGUAUAAACGACUAGAUACCAAAGAAGGAGAGUUGGAUAUCUAUAAACUAGCUAGAGCAAGGGAAAAGAAGACAAGGGACCUAAACCAAGUGAGGUGCAUCAAGGAUGAGGAUGGAAAGGUUCUUGCUACAGAGAACGCGGUUAAAGACAGAUGGAGAGGUUAUUUUCAUAAUCUUUUCAAUGAAGGACAUGAAAGGAGUGCUUCUUUAGGGGAGUUGAGUAACUCAGAAGAGUGUAGAAACAACUCUUUUUAUCGUCGAAUCCGGAAGGAAGAAGUGGUUGUAGCUUUGAAGAAGAUGAAGCAUAGAAAAGCAACAGGCCCAGACGAUAUACCAAUCGAAGUGUGGAAAGUUUUGGGAGAGACAGGUAUAACAUGACUCACUGACCUUUUCAAUAGGAUUUUGAAAACGAAGAAGAUGCCAAAUGAGUGGCGAACGAGCACUUUGGUGCCUAUCUACAAGAAUAAGGGCGACGUACAAAAUUGCAUGAACUAUAGGGGUAUUAAGUUAAUGAGUCAUACAAUGAAGCUCUGGGAGAGAGUCAUUGAGCAUAGAUUGAGGCAAGAGACACGGGUUUCGGACAACCAAUUCGGGUUCAUGCCAGGGCGCUCAACCAUGGAGGCAAUCUAUCUCUUACGAAGAUUGAUGGAAAGAUAUAGAGAUGGGAAAAAUGAUUUACACAUGGUCUUUAUAGAUUUUGGAAAAAAGCGUAUGAUAGGGUCCCAAGAGACAUUCUUUGGAGGAUUUUAGAGAAGAAAGGAGUACGAAUAGCAUAUAUCCAAGCUAUAAAGGAUAUGUAUGAAGGAGCAAAGACUGCCGUAAGAACUCAUGAAGGACAAACCGAAAGCUUUCCCAUAACUGUAGGAUUACAUCAAGGCUCAUCCUUAAGUCCUUACCUUUUUGCGUUGGUAAUGGAUGAGUUAACAGGACAUAUUCAAGAUGAUAUUCCUUGGUGUAUGCUUUUCGCAGACGAUAUAGUGUUGAUAGAUGAAACUCAGGAAGGGGUAAAUGCAAAGCUUAACCUUUGGAGAGAAGUGUUGGAAUCUAAAGGUCUUCGCCUAAGCCGAUCAAAGACAGAAUAUAUAGAGUGCAAGUUCAGUGCAAAUGGAGGCCAAAACGAGUUAGGGGUGAGGAUCGGAGAUCAAGAAAUACCAAAGAGCGACCGUUUUCGUUACCUAGGAUCUAUCUUGCAAAAGAACGGAGAAUUAGAUGGAGAUCUCAACCAUCGAAUACAAGCUGGAUGGAUGAAGUGGAAGAGUGCAUCUGGUGUGUUGUGUGACCGCCGUAUGCCACUGAAGCUCAAGGGAAAAUUUUAUAGGACGGCAAUAAGGCCGGCGAUGCUGUAUGGCACAGAAUGUUGGGCGGUGAAGCAUCAACACGUACACAAAAUGGGUGUAGCGGAGAUGAGGAUGCUUCGUUGGAUGUGUGGGCACACGAGAAAGGAUAAGAUUAGGAAUGAGGAUAUCCGGGGUAAAGUAGGAGUAGUCGAAAUUGAAGGAAAGAUGAGAGAAAAUCGGUUACGGUGGUUUGGACAUGUGCAAAGAAGGCCUACUGACGCUCCGAUUAGAAGAUGCGACUAUGGGACAGAGGUUCAGGGCCGAAGGGGUAGAGGAAGACCUAGGAAAACUUUGGAAGAGACUCUAAGAAAAGACUUAGAGUACUUGGAUC